rnacentral:lncRNA from 12 species
AGCCCGUGUAACCCCGCGGCCCAGAGGCUGCGGGACGGGGAGGCCCGUCCUGGGGGGGGGGGGGGCCUUCCCUCCGGAUUCCCCUCCUGCGGGCGGGCGCAGCGGCUCCCGUGGCCUCCGCCCUCCCCGCGGGCACGAUCCCAGCGCCGCGGCCCGGGGCGGGGGGCGCAGCCGUCACCUGGUCGGUGCAGGAACGCGUCGCUACCGGCCAGUUCUCCGGGUCCCACUGCCCACGCGGCAGGCGGGCGUGGGGCGAAGCCCGUUCUGUUCCCCUUUAAUGGCGGUUCAUGCGAGGAAACUGCGCGUGUCGGAGGCGGCUUCUGGGGCGCCGGCCCCCCCGCAGAUCCUCGGCCGCGCCCAGGGCCCGCCUCUGCCCCGCGCCCCACUAGGGCGUGGCCUUUCCACGCGGCCGCGCCAGAAGCUUCUUCCGCGUCCCUUUGUCACCGGAGCCCUGCGCCCGCGGACGUGACCGGCGGCCCCGAGAGGAUGCUGCGGGGAUCCCGCGGCCUCCGCACCUGCUGGCCCUUCGGAGGGAGCCCCCGCCCGCGGCCGCCGGGCGCUGACGGCCCCGCCCUCGGGAAACCGGAGCACAGAUGUAAACACUAAGUCCCAAGGUGACAUUCUUGUUUUUAACAGUGAAAUUGAAUCAUGGACAUUAUUAACUCCAAGUUCUACAUAAGUAACAGCAACUUCUCUCCAAAUUUGGUAAGUAGAGGCACUUUCACACUUAGAGCUGUGCCUGUUUAUGCACAGUGCACAGCAGUUUGGGCUUUCCAAAUGAAUGUAGUGACUUCUGAAACCACAGAUCUUGAGGCAUUUGUUUUUUGCUGUCAGCAAAAAAGCAUAGUUGCUGGGCCCCGGGCGGCUCGGUGGGCCAAGCAUCUACCUUGGGCUUAGGUCAUGACCCGGGGGCCUGGGCGGGAGCCCACCCUGGGCUGCCCGCUCAGUUGGGGGGUCGGCUCUCCCUCUCCCUCCGCCCCUCCCUCCUCUCGUGCUCACUGUCUCUCUCUGUCUCCAAUAAAUAAAUAAAAUCUUUUUAAAAUAUACA